AGUGAACGCUGGCGGUAGGCCCAACACAUGCAAGUCGAACGGCAGCACAGUAAGAGCUUGCUCUUACGGGUGGCGAGUGGCGGACGGGUGAGGAAUACAUCGGAAUCUACUUUUUCGUGGGGGAUAACGUAGGGAAACUUACGCUAAUACCGCAUACGACCUACGGGUGAAAGCAGGGGAUCUUCGGACCUUGCGCGAUUGAAUGAGCCGAUGUCGGAUUAGCUAGUUGGCGGGGUAAAGGCCCACCAAGGCGACGAUCCGUAGCUGGUCUGAGAGGAUGAUCAGCCACACUGGAACUGAGGCACGGUCCAGACUCCUACGGGAGGCAGCAGUGGGGAAUAUUGGACAAUGGGCGAAAGCCUGAUCCAGCCAUACCGCGUGGGUGAAGAAGGCCUUCGGGUUGUAAAGCCCUUUUGUUGGGAAAGAAAAGCAGCAGGUUAAUACCCCGCUGUUCUGACGGUACCCAAAGAAUAAGCACCGGCUAACUUCGUG
rnacentral:rRNA from 1 species